rnacentral:rRNA from 1 species
UGGUGCCAGCAGCCGCGGUAAUUCCAGCUCCAAUAGCGUAUAUUAAAGUUGUUGCAGUUAAAAAGCUCGUAGUUGAAUUUCGGGAUCAUCAGGUUGGUCGUGCCAUUGGUAUGUACUAGCUUUGGUGGUUCCUACCUCUUGAAGAACCGUAAUGUCAUUAACUUGGUGUUGCGGGGAAUCAGGACUGUUACUUUGAAAAAAUUAGAGUGUUUAAAGCAGGCAAACGCUUGAAUACAUUAGCAUGGAAUAAUGAAAUAGGACGUUUGAUCUUAUUUUGUUGGUUUCUAGGAUCGACGUAAUGAUUAAUAGGGAUAGUUGGGGGCACUAGUAUUCAAUUGUCAGAGGUGAAAUUCUUGGAUUUAUUGAAGACUAACUACUGCGAAAGCAUUUGCCAAGGAUGUUUUCAUUAAUCAAGAACGAAAGUUAGGGGAUCGAAGACGAUCAGAUACCGUCGUAGUCUUAACCAUAAACUAUGCCGACUAGGGA